UACAGAGACUGCAAGCGUUGUUCGGAUUUACUGGGCGUAAAGGGUGCGCAGGCGGCCGGAUGUGUCGGGUGUGAAAUUUCGAGGCUCAACCUCGAGACUGCGCCCGAAACUAUCUGGCUAGAGUACUGGAGAGGGAAGCGGAAUUCACGGUGUAGCAGUGAAAUGCGUAGAUAUCGUGAGGAACACCAAUGGCGAAGGCAGCUUCCUGGACAGUUACUGACGCUCAGGCACGAAAGCGUGGGGAGCAAAAGGG
rnacentral:misc_RNA from 1 species